rnacentral:rRNA from 1 species
ACGGGAGGCAGCAGUGGGGAAUAUUGCACAAUGGGGGAAACCCUGAUGCAGCGACGCCGCGUGGUGAUGAAGUAUUUCGGUACGUAAAGCCCUAUCAGCAGGGAAGAUAAUGACGGUACCUGACUAAGAAGCUCCGGCUAAAUACGUGCCAGCAGCCGCGGUAAUACGUAUGGAGCAAGCGUUAUCCGGAUUUACUGGGUGUAAAGGGAGCGCAGGCGGUUUUGUAAGUUGGGUGUGAAAGCCCGGGGCUCAACCCCGGGACUGCACCCAAAACUGCAGGACUAGAGUGUCGGAGGGGCAAGCGGAAUUCCUAGUGGAGCGGUGAAAUGCACAGAUAUUAGGAGGAACACCGGUGGCGAAGGCGGCUUGCUGGACGAUAACUGACGCUGAGGCUCGAAAGCGUGGGGAGCAAACAGGAUUAGAUACCCUGGUA